rnacentral:rRNA from 1 species
UACGGGGGGGGCAAGCGUUGUUCGGAAUUACUGGGCGUAAAGCGCACGUAGGCGGAUAUUUAAGUCAGGGGUGAAAUCCCGCAGCUCAACUGCGGAACUGCCUUUGAUACUGGGUAUCUAGAGUAUGGAAGAGGUGAGUGGAAUUCCGAGUGUAGAGGUGAAAUUCGUAGAUAUUCGGAGGAACACCAGUGGCGAAGGCGGCUCACUGGUCCAUUACUGACGCUGAGGUGCGAAAGCGUGGGGAGCAAACAGG